GGGCACAACGGUUCAGCGCUUGGCUGCUAACCAAAAGGUUGGUGGUUCGAACCCAUCCCA
rnacentral:tRNA from 1 species